rnacentral:misc_RNA from 1 species
CUGAAAAACUAAUUUAUUAGUUUCUUCACAUCCCAUUGUCGACUAUACCAUGUUGCUUCCACUGGACAGGCAAAUCUUGCCAUCGUGCAAGAGAAGCCCUUUGGCCAGCGCCUAACAAGUGCUAGCCGGAGAGUUGCCAGUGGUAAGACCCCAUAAAAAAAACUUUUUGCUGAAAAUCAAAGUGUCUGAACAUUAUCUUCAAAAUAAGAUA